AUUGAACGCUGGCGGCAUGCCUUACACAUGCAAGUCGAACGGCAGCACGGGUGCUUGCACCUGGUGGCGAGUGGCGAACGGGUGAGUAAUACAUCGAAACGUACCUUAUCGUGGGGGAUAACGCAGCGAAAGCUGUGCUAAUACCGCAUACGCCCUGAGGGGGAAAGCGGGGGAUCGAAAGACCUCGCGCGAUUAGAGCGGCCGAUGCCUGAUUAGCUUGUUGGUGGGGUAAAAGCCCAACAAGGCGACGAUCAGUAGCUGGUCUGAGAGGACGGUCAGCCACACUGGGACUGAGACACGGCCCAGACUCCUACGGGAGGCAGCAGUGGGGAAUUUUGGACAAUGGGGGCAACCCUGAUCCAGCAAUGCCGCGUGAGUGAAGAAGGCCUUCGGGUUGUAAAGCUCUUUUGUCAGGGAAGAAACACCGGCUCUAACACAGUCCGGGAAUGACGGUACCUGAAGAAUAAGCACCGGCUAACUACGUGCCAGCCGCCGCAGUAA
rnacentral:rRNA from 1 species